GCUGAUAUAGCUCAGGUGGUAGAGCGCAUCCUUGGUAAGGAUGAGGUCGGCAGUUCGAAUCUGCCUAUCAGCACCA
rnacentral:tRNA from 8 species